rnacentral:lncRNA from 1 species
UUAUUUUUGAGCUAGUACGCUUGAGUUCUAUUUUUUUUUAUUUUUAUGAUUAUAAUUUUGGGAACAAUUAAAAAGGGCAUUUAUAAAAUUUAAUUUGUGAAAGGUGUAAAUGUUUAAAGAUUUAGUACACAAACAAAUCAAUUCCAAUUUCCAAUUCUUGAAUUGAAAGAGAUAAAAAAAAAAGAAUACAACCUUGUAAAGACUAUGAAAUAAGCCACAACAAAAACGCAUAUUAUCUUACAAAACUAGAUUUUUCGGCUUUUGCACUUAAUUUUUGCAGCAGAUUUCUACAUUUUAGAAUAAUGAUAUAAAAUGCUCCAUAAGGUAACUUUAUUCUUAAAACUUUACCACAAUCUGUUUUUCUGCUGGUUGAACGAAAAAAAUAUAUAAUAUUCUAAAUAGCUUUAGUGAAAAUCACGCACAACCAUUGAAAUAAUAAUGUGUUGUUAGUCAAACCUUUAACUUUCUUGAAGGAACCGGUUAAAUUGCCAGACAAAAUCGAGCAAUGAUAGAAUAUUUGUGAAAUAGUCUUAAGAAAAUUGAUUUUUUAGCUUCCUCUAAAUGUAGAAUUUAAAACGAUGUUGUUUUCUCGAAUUAAACGACGAGGUGCAGAUUAAAUCUGUAGACACUUAACUACGAUAGACAUAUGUAUACUUAUUAUUCUGUAAUAAAUCCUAUUUAAGGUAUUUAAGAAAAACCAAUUCUAUCUUUUGCCAAAAAACUUGUGUAACCGUGUACUGGUGUGUUAUUCACAUUCCAAACCACCCUUUUUUUAUUACGUUUCUGUUAUUUGUAAUAAAAUCUUUUAUACUGUUAUAUGUUUUACUUAAUUCACAUAUGGUGUAUGUAUAAAACUCAUCAAAGCUACAAGGCUUUUAAUUUAAUUUGAACGACGCUCGUUUCGUCUACAGAAG